rnacentral:rRNA from 1 species
AUUGAACGCUGGCGGCAGGCCUAACCCAUGCAAGUCGAGCGAGCGGCGGACGGGUGAGUAAUGUAUAGGGCCUGCCCGAUAGAGGGGGAUAACUACUGGCAACGGUAGCUAAUACCGCAUACUAUCGGAUAACCCAUAUGGGAUUAGCUAGUAGGUGAGGUAAUGGCUCACCGAGGCUACAAUCCCUAGCUGGCCUGAGAGGAUGAUCAGCAGCAUGGGGACUGAGACAAGUGCCAGACUCCGACGGAGGCAGCCUUGGGGAAUAUUGCACAAUGGGCGAAAGCCUGAUGCAGCCAUGCCUGGUGUAUGAAGAAGGCCCGAGGGUUGUAAAGUACUUUCAGUCGGGAGGCGUUACCGACAGAAGAAGCACCGGCUAACUCCGUGCCAGCAGCCGCGGUAAUUC